rnacentral:rRNA from 1 species
GCCCUUAAGGUAGCCAAAUGCCUCGUCAUCUAAUUAAAGACGCGCAUGAAUGAAUUAACGAGAUUCUCACUGUCCCUAUCUACCAUCUAGCGAACCCACAGGCAGGGGAACGGUCCUGCACUAAACAGCGGGGAAAGAAAACUCUGUUGAGCUUGACUGUAGUCUGAUAUUGUAGAGAGAUAUCAGGGGUGUAGCAUAAGUAAGAGGUCAGAAAAGUUACCACAGGCUUGUGGCGGCCAAGCAUUCAUAGCGACGUCGUUUUUUGAUCCUUCGAUGUCGGCUCUUCCUAUCAUUGUGAAGCAGAAUUCACAAGGGC